rnacentral:rRNA from 1 species
UUAGACCGUCGUGAGACAGGUUAGUUUUACCCUACUGAUGAGUGUUGUUGCAACAGUAAUCCAAGGUAGUACGAGAGGAACUCUUGGUUCAGAUAAUUGGUAUUGCCCCUGGCUGAAAAGCCAAAGGUGCGAAGCUACCAUCUGUAGGAUUACGGCUGAACGCCUCUAAGCCGGAAUCCGCGCUGGAAGCAACGAUGUUUACCUCUCCGAAUUUUGACCGAGUACGCAAAGGGCGGGUUUAUCCCGUCUGAAUACCACACCGGCUUAGCACUGUGCGCCUCGAAGUGGCGUGCAGGAGAGUUGGAUACAUUUUCUGGAUUGGGGGAGAUGAAUCUCUUAUAGACGAUUUGAUUAUGGAACGGGGACUUGUAA